rnacentral:rRNA from 1 species
UUGGUAAGUUUGACGGUUUACUCAGCGUUAGCAGGCAAAUCGGAUCGUAAUUUGUGGCUAUUAUUAUUGUUGCUGCUUGCCGCCUUAUUCCUCCUGAGCCGGUUUAAGCGCAUCUACGGCUUCCUUGCCACCAUUGAUAAAAGUACGACGCAGUUAGACAUUCGGCUGGCUUUCUUUCUGGUUUUUGCCUUAGUCACCGUAGCAUCACGGGUCGGCGCCGAAUCAAUUCUCGGUGCUUUCCUAGCUGGCAUGGUGAUGAAACUGCUCGGUCCCCGGCAAGAAACGCAGGAUAAGUUGACCUCAUUAGGUUAUGGGUUCUUCAUUCCUAUUUUCUUCAUUGUCACCGGCGCUAAUCUUGAUCUAAAAGCACUGGUUGCCGACCCAAAAAGUCUUUCAUUAAUUCCGCUAGUUCUGAUCGGCUUCUUUAUUGCUAAGAUUGGCUUGAUCCCAGUGCUGCGCCGGCGGUUUAAGCCUCAAAAUGCCUUGGCUGGCGGUUUCUUGCUGACAACGACCAUCACGCUGGUCAUCCCGACCCUGACAGUUGGCCGCAAUCUCGAUAUUUUAUCAGACCAGCAAUCCGGCGCGUUCACCCUCGCCGCUGUCAUUGCCUGUGUCGCCGGUCCAAUUCUCUUCAACACCUUUUUCCAGCCGGAACCGGAACAUUUUAAAAAGACAAAAGUGACCUUCAUCGGUGGCAAUCUGCUAACAGUACCAAUUGCCCAACAUCUCAGUCCUGAUCGCUAUGAAGUAAAACUGUUGACAGAUAAGCCAGAAAAUUACCACACGUAUAAUUCAGAAAUCAACAUUGCCUUGGCAGCCUAUACCGAAUCCGCUUUGAAAGCCGCUGGUGCUUAUGACUGUGACAUCAUAGUUCUUGGCGAUUUCGAUGCCGACACCAACUACGAUCUCGCGACCAUGGCAUUAGCCGAAAAAGUACCACGGAUCAUUGCGCGAUUCGCUCCAAAAGAUGCUACCAGUGAUCGCUAUGAUCGCUUGCGAGCCCAAGGUGUCGAAGUGUUUAACGCCUUAGAGGCAAAUGUUGCUUUGUUGCGGAGUCUCAUUGAAACGCCGUCAACCUUGCAAAUUCUGGAUGACACCGUUGCUGGCAUUUACGAAAUCACCGUGCGCAACUCGCGAUUUGCUGGCCUUGAAUUGAAAAAUCUGCCAUUUAUUGAUGACAUUACCGUUAGUCAAAUCUAUCGCAAUAAAAAGUUCGUCGCACCGCAUGGCGACACACAAAUUCAUCUCGGCGAUCAUUUAAUCUUUUCCGGUGACAAACACGUGAUUCGCGACAUUCGCGAACAAGUCGAGAAAUUGAAUUAAAGCUCACCGCAUCGCGUGGUACAAUGAGAUUAUUCUAAGAAAAAAAGGUGAUCAAAUGAAACAAGGGACAACAAUCCUGACCUUAGACAAUGGGUAUCAUUUGUGGACCAACACACAAGGUGAAGGCGAUAUCCAUCUUCUUUGCUUGCAUGGCGGCCCUGGUGGCACUCAUGAGUAUUGGGAAAACUUUGGCGAAGAGCUGGCCGAUCUUGGCGUUCAGGUACAUAUGUACGACCAACUUGGCUCGUUUUAUUCCGAUCAGCCGGAUUAUACCGACCCGGAAAUCGCUAAAAAAUACCUGACCACUGACUACUUUCUUGGCGAAGUAGAAGAAGUUCGCCAAAAGCUGGGUCUGGAUCAUUUUUACCUCAUCGGCCAAAGCUGGGGCGGUGCCUUAACCCAGCUAUAUGCCCUGAAAUAUGGUCAGCAUCUUAAAGGCGCAAUUAUCUCUUCAAUGGUCGACAACAUCAACGAAUACGUUGAUCAUAUCAACCUCGUCCGUGAAGAAGCUUUGCCGCCGUCAGCGGUUAAGUACAUGAAGAAAAUUGAAAAAGCUGGUAACUGGGACGACCCGCAGUAUCAGAAAUAUGUGGAUGUCCUCAAUCGCGGUUAUGUUGAUCGCAAACAGCCACCAGCAAUUUCACACCUGAUUAGCACCAUGGCCACGCCUGUCUACAAUGCUUUCCAAGGCGACAAUGAGUUUGUUGUGACCGGUAAGUUGAAGAACUGGGAUAUCAGUGAUCAGAUUCACAAUAUCAAGGUUCCAACCUUGCUCACAUUCGGCGAACAUGAAACCAUGCCACUGAAGUCAGCCCAACGUAUGGCUGAGGUCAUCCCACAUGCCCGACUGGUCACCACCCCAGACGGCGGCCACCAUCACAUGAUUGAUAACGCCCCAGUUUACUUCAAACAUUUGAAGCAAUUUAUCUCUGAUGUCGAAAAUGGGACUUUUAACGACUAAUAUCACCGAACGCGCCGCAGUUAGCGACGCGUUUUUCUGACGAAGGAGUAUGAAAGCAUGGCUUAUACAGUUGAUUUUAAAACGGUCAGCACCAUUGGUCUUGAAAGCUCGCCUGUUGCUGCAGCAUUGGCAGGAUUGCGCGCAAAUGAAGCGCGUUACAUCUGGAAUAAGUAUAAGAAACCUUAUAUCACUUAUCCGGCUGCCGAAAAACCUGACAGUCUCGCGUGGGUU